UACGUAGGGGGCUAGCGUUAUCCGGAAUUACUGGGCGUAAAGGGUGCGUAGGUGGUUUCUUAAGUCAGAGGUGAAAGGCUACGGCUCAACCGUAGUAAGCCUUUGAAACUGGGAAACUUGAGUGCAGGAGAGGAGAGUGGAAUUCCUAGUGUAGCGGUGAAAUGCGUAGAUAUUAGGAGGAACACCAGUUGCGAAGGCGGCUCUCUGGACUGUAACUGACACUGAGGCACGAAAGCGUGGGGAGCAAACAGGAUUAGAUACCCGUGUAGUCCCUGAG
rnacentral:rRNA from 1 species